GUGAAAGCCAAUUUGACAAUAAAUUUCAUAUAUUGAAAAAAUAAAUAAAUAAAAGAAUUACAUGAGAGAAAAAAAAAGAACCUCUUCCUGUUUCCAUUCUCCAGAGGUCUGCGCACCAGGAGAAAAUAAUCUGUUAAAAAAAAAAGAAAACAACAAUAACAAGUAAAGAAAAAAAAAAAACCAAAACUUUUAUCUUCAGUCAGAGCUAUGAAGUGUUCAUGCUCGGUAGCUGGCAGGAAGCUGGAGAUGUCUCUAGAAAAAAACUUGAGGCCACUCUACCUUAGGAAACUGGGGACUUGGUCAGGUUGAUCUUUUUUUUGUUUGUCUAUGAAAGUUCUUGAACCAUUGUAGAAAAUUGGUAAUGCCUUUAAUCCAUAACGCAACUUUUUAUCCCCUGCCCGAGUCUGGGAUGUACUGAACUUGAGUUGUCGCCUCAUCUCCCGGCGUAGGGCUGGACCCAUCACGGGGGUUAGCAUAUCGUAAAUGCGCAGUAAACGUUUCCUAGGAAAUCAGAUCGAGGAGAAGGGAUAGGGCUUGGUACUCCCGACCCCAGCCUCUUACACGUUCCUAGUUCAUUGGCACCUUCCUUAAACCCGUCGGAGGUUCUCUGUCCUCCGCCCCACCUCUCCUCCCGCCCCCCAGCCCUGCACACAGCCCUACGGGAAACGUGCACCUCGUGAUGGAAUCAAAGCCACUUCACUCUAAAGUAUAAAUGGCUGGGUGUAGCUUCUGUUUGUCCUUCCUACUGUGGUUUGCGGAGCUAUUUGGAGAAGCGUGUUCUGUGAACUCUGGGAAGCAGCCACUCAGUGGCAGCUCUGGGACCCGGCUCGCGGCAAGGCUAUGGGACAACGUGUGCCAAGAUGAGCCUCCAGAGGCCACCCAGGGAAAGGGACCGAUCGACUGCAGCUGUGGGAGAAGAUACUGCACCAACUAUGUGAUUUCUGUAAGCCUCCUGUGGGCGGAGGUGGCAGGAAGGGGGAGGCAUGCGGUCGUUCCCGGAGAGUGGACCAGGCAGAAAUGGCAACAGGUGUCCAUUACGUUCAUUACACAGGGGAGAGAUCUGAGCCUCAGACGGGCCAACUUUGUAAUGUCAUACAGGUGGUCUGUCAGUGGGGUGGGGAUGGGAACACACGGCCAUCUGAUUCCCCAGAAUAUUUCCUUUGUGUCGUCCCAAGGUUUCUCAUGGUGUGAGAUGCGUGCCAAAUGUGGUGUUUGAGGUGACUUUUGGUGCUACCUAAAUGGACAUUUAAAAUUUAAUGUGUGUUAGAAAAAGAAUAACCACGUAAAACAAUAUCGAAUUUCUUUAAGUUUAUUCAUGUAUUUUUUUUUUGAAAGAGACAGAGACAGCACAAGUGGGGGAGGGGCAGAGAGAGAAGGGGAGAGAGAGAGAGAGAGAGAGAGAGAGAGAGAAUCCCAGGCCGGCUUUGUGCUGCCAGGACAGAAUCCCAACAUGGGGCUCAAACUCACAAAAACAUGAGCCCAUGACCUGAGCAGAAUCCAAGAGUCAGACACAACCUACUGAGUGCCCCUGGCACCCUUAGAAUUUCUUUUUUUUUUUGUAAGUUAUUUUAUUUAUUUAUUUAUUUAUUUAUUUAUUUAUUUAUUUUUCAAUAUAUGACAUUUAUUGUCAAAUUGGUUUCCAUACAACACCCAGUGCUCAUCCCAAAAGGUGCCCUCCUCAAUACCCAUC
rnacentral:lncRNA from 1 species